ensembl:lncRNA
CUCUUCAGACCAUGUGAACGAAUGUCGAUAAGAACAUGUGAGCAGACUUAAAGUGAGGUAAUCAGACAGAUCACCUCAGACAUCUUCUGAAACAUCAGCAUCAUCAGGUCUACAGAGGAGUCAAGAUGAAGACUCUCAGCCUCACAGUGGGACUGCUGCUCGUGCUGUUCGCUGUUUGCUCCUGUGAUGCCUCGUCUCGUUUAGUUUGCUGUUAUAAGUUCUUUGAAAACAGGAUCCCAAAGUCACACAUCCUCUCCGUCAGCAAAACCUACAGCCUCUGCUCAACACCGGCAUUUGUGAUCGAGACACCCAGAGGGGAGUACUGUGUGAGGCAGACUGUGAAGUGGGCAAAGACUGAAUUUAUCAAACAAGAAACAAAGAAACAAUUAACACAUCAAGCACCUGCUGCAGCAUUGAUGAAUGCCUCGAGCAGAAAUACAUCAGCCACUCCAUAAAGUCUCUUUGUAAACACGAAGAGCUGCUGAACCUCUGCAUACUUUACCUGCUUAAUUACUGUUAAUAAUGCUGAAGAGAGGACACAUUUAUUGAGCACUGAUUUCAGAUCUUUCCAUUAAAAAUCAUAAUAUUAAAUUAAUAAUUUGGUUAAGAUGUUAAAUGUCGAUAUUGACAUGUAUGUCAGUAAUAAAGUUGAUUAACAAAUUGUA